UACGCAGGGGGCUAGCGUUGUUCGGAAUUACUGGGCGUAAAGCGCACGUAGGCGGGUUUGUAAGGAGGGGGUGAAAUCCCCGGGCUCAACCCGGGAACUGCCUUCUAGACUGCAAGCCUGGAGGUCAGGAGAGGCGAGUGGAAUUCCGAGUGUAGAGGUGAAAUUCGUAGAUAUUCGGAGGAACACCAGUGGCGAAGGCGACUCGCUGGACUGAUAAUGACGCUGAGGUGCGAAAGCGUGGGGAGCAAACAGG
rnacentral:rRNA from 1 species